rnacentral:rRNA from 1 species
UGGCGGCGUGCCUAAUACAUGCAAGUCGAGCGGACAGAUGGGAGCUUGCUCCCUGAUGUUAGCGGCGGACGGGUGAGUAACACGUGGGUAACCUGCCUGUAAGACUGGGAUAACUCCGGGAAACCGGGGCUAAUACCGGAUGGUUGUUUGAACCGCAUGGUUCAGACAUAAAAGGUGGCUUCGGCUACCACUUACAGAUGGACCCGCGGCGCAUUAGCUAGUUGGUGAGGUAACGGCUCACCAAGGCGACGAUGCGUAGCCGACCUGAGAGGGUGAUCGGCCACACUGGGACUGAGACACGGCCCAGACUCCUACGGGAGGCAGCAGUAGGGAAUCUUCCGCAAUGGACGAAAGUCUGACGGAGCAACGCCGCGUGAGUGAUGAAGGUUUUCGGAUCGUAAAGCUCUGUUGUUAGGGAAGAACAAGUGCCGUUCAAAUAGGGCGGCACCUUGACGGUACCUAACCAGAAAGCCACGGCUAACUACGUGCCAGCAGCCGCGGUAAUACGUAGGUGGCAAGCGUUGUCCGGAAUUAUUGGGCGUAAAGGGCUCGCAGGCGGUUUCUUAAGUCUGAUGUGAAA